UCGCGAAUAACUUGUGGUUUCGUUAAAAAAAAAAAGGUAAAAAUAAAAAAACACGAAUUAGGAGAGUCAAAGGAAGGUCAAAUUAAAUCGUUCGCGAUUUCGGUGAAAGUCAAGUUUAAUUAUCAUCUGUUUAAUCGUUCGUAUCAACGGUGAGACGAUUACCGAACAUUAAUUUUUAAUGUAAUAUAUGAUUAAUUUUUUGGCUUUACAAUUAGAUCGUUGAUAAUUAUUGUCACAUAUGUAUGUCUAUAUCUGAUAAUGUAUAUGCGUACGUGUUUGAUUAGUACGUGUAAAGAGUGAGCGAGUGAGUAAAUGUAAGAGAAAGAGAGAGGGAGAGAGAGAGAGAGUAUACAGUUGAUUGGACAAUACUGACAGUGAUCUCUCGCGUUUCAAGGACUCGAAUUUGACGAUUAGAUACGAUAUACGCAAUGUGUCGUAUAAGAUUACCGAAGCGGAAGCGAGUCGCUGUCUCUGAGGAAAAUUACGACUCGGCAAUAUCCAACUGCAAUUACUGGCGUUCUCUCGGUCGUCCUAUCGAAUCCUAGAUACCGUACGACUUACACGCGCGUCUGCCGUUACGUAAUAAUACAGAUAGCGUGAUGUGAUGUAAGUUGAAAGUAGAACGUAGAAUAUUCCGAGCUAGCCGGUUUUAUGGUCCAGAUAGGACGUGCAUAAAUCUUUGACGCGGAACGAUAACGGCUUGGGGCUCCCGUAUAUCGAACGAUAUUAUACACACACACACAUAUAUAUAUGUAUAUAAUAUCUAUAUAUCAACGUGUAUGUGUGAACGUGAAGUACGCACGUCCUUCGUCGACUCGUCAUCAAGAAGAAAGAAAGAGAAAGAGAAUAUAUAAAAGAGAGACCAACGAACGCUCGGACAAAACGGUUUUCUUCGAGGGCGUGGGGGACCAAAAGUUUUGCCCGGCCAAUGUGGAAAGAGUACGAAACUCACAAAGAGAGAGAAAGAGGUGGUGGGUUGGGUUGGGUUGGGGAAGGAGAGGGGGGUCUUCAAGGACGCACGUUCGUGAAUUUCAGCAGCGGCAAAAGCGACUUAACUGCCGAUGGCGAUGGUGGUGGAGGCGGUACUGUGAAACCGUCAGAGAAAGAGAGAAAGAGUGAGGAGGGGUGGAAAGGAGAGAAGGGG
rnacentral:lncRNA from 1 species